rnacentral:rRNA from 1 species
GCAGCAGGCGCGCAAAUUACCCACUCCCGGCACGGGGAGGUAGUGACGAAAAAUAAUGAUACGGGACUCAUCCGAGGCCCCGUAAUCGUAAUGAGUAUACUCUAAAUCCUUAUACGAGUAUCAAUUGGAGGGCAAGUCUGGUGCCAGCAGCCGCGGUAAUUCCAGCUCCAAUAGCGUAUAUUAAAGUUGUUGCGGUUAAAAAGCUCGUAGUUGGAUCUGUGUCCCGGACCGUCGGUUCACCGCCUGUCGGUGUUCAACUGGCGUGUAUGCGGGACGUCCUGCCGGUGGCGGUCCGGUUCCCGGAGGGUACGUAGGGGUCGUCCUUGCCUUGCUUGCGUCGUCCCCGAAGGCCUUCUCGGUGUUUCCGGCCGCCUUUUCGAUCCCGUCGCGGUGCUCUUUACCGAGUGUCGAGGCGGGCCGGCACGUUUACUUUGAACAAAUUAGAGUGCUUUAAGCAGGCCCUGUCCCGCCUGUAUGUUGUGUGCAUGGAAUAAUGGAAUAGGACCUCGGUUCUAUUUUGUUGGUUUUCGGAAUCUGAGGUAAUGAUCAAUGGGGACAGGCGGGGGCAUUCGUAUUGCGACGUUAGAGGUGAAAUUCUUGGAUCGUCGCAAGACGGACCGAAGCGAAAGCAUUUGCCAAGUAUGUUCUCGUCGAUCAAGAACGAAAGUUAGAGGUUCGAAGGCGAUCAGAUACCGCCCUAGUUCUAACCAUAAACUAUGCCUGCCAGCGAUCCGCCGAAGUUCCUCCGAUGACUCGGCGGGCAGCUUCCGGGAAACCAGAGCUUUUGGGUUCCGGGGGAAGUAUGGUUGCAAAGCUGAAACUUAAAGGAAUUGACGGAAGGGCACCACCAGGAGUGGAGCCUGCGGCUUAAUUUGACUCAACACGGGAAAACUCACCAGGCCCGGACACCGGAAGGAUUGACAGAUUGAGAGCUCUUUCUUGAUUCGGUGGGUGGUGGUGCAUGGCCGUUCUUAGUKGGUGGAGCGAUUUGUCUGGUUAAUUCCGAUAACGAACGAGACUCUAGCCUACUAACUAGGCGUACCCGGUAUCCACAAUCGUGCUACCGGCGAUCAAAUUUCUUCUUAGAGGGACAGGCGGCUUCUAGCCGCACGAGACUGAGCAAUAACAGGUCUGUGAUGCCCUUAGAUGUCCUGGGCCGCACGCGCGCUACACUGAAGGAAUCAGCGUGUCUUCCCUGUCCGAAAGGACCGGGUAACCCGCUGAACCUCCUUUGUGCUAGGGAUUGGGGCUUGCAAUUGUUCCCCAUGAACGAGGAAUUCCCAGUAAGCGCGAGUCAUAAGCUCGCGUUGAUUACGUCCCUGCCCUUUGUACACACCGCCCGUCGCUACUACCGAUUGAAUGAUUUAGUGAGGUCUUCGGACUGGUGCGCGGAGGCCGCUUCGCGGUCUCCGAUGUUGCUGGAAAGAUGACCAAACUUGAUCAUUUAGAGGAAGUAAAAGUCGUAACAAGGUUUCCGUAGGUGAACCUGCGGAAGG